GGGGUUGUAGCUCAGUGGAAGAGCGCUUGCCUGGCAUGUAUGAAGCACUGGGUUCAAUUCUCAGCACCACA
rnacentral:tRNA from 1 species